GGGUAUAUGGUCUAGUGGUAUGAUUUCUGUUUUGCAAUGCCUCGGCUACAAUUGCAUCUUACAGACGGUCCCGCGUUCGAUCCGCGGUAUAUCCA
rnacentral:tRNA from 1 species